UACAGAGGUCUCAAGCGUUGUUCGGAUUCAUUGGGCGUAAAGGGUGUGUAGGUGGAUUAAUAAGUCAGUGGUGAAAGCCCGGAGCUCAACUCCGGAACUGCCAUUGAUACUGUUAGUCUUGAGUACAGUUGAGGUGGGCGGAAUGUGUCAUGUAGCGGUGAAAUGCUUAGAUAUGACACAGAACACCGAUUGCGAAGGCAGCUCACUAAGCUGUAACUGACACUGAGGCACGAAAGUGUGGGUAGCAAACAGG
rnacentral:rRNA from 1 species